GGAGAAUUAGCUCAGCUGGGAGAGCGCCUGCUUUGCACGCAGGAGGUCAGCGGUUCGAUCCCGCUAGUCUCCACCA
rnacentral:tRNA from 7 species